GAUGAAGAACGUAGCGAAAUGCGAUAAGUAAUGUGAAUUGCAGAAUUCAGUGAAUCAUCGAAUCUUUGAACGCACCUUGCGCCCUUUGGCCAUUCCGAAGGGCAUGCCUGUUUGAGUAUCAUGAACACCUCAACUCUUCAUGGUUUUCCGUGAUGAGCUUGGACUUUGGGGGUCUUGCUGGCCUAUGGUCAGCUCCUCUAAAAUAAAUCAGCUUGCCAGUGUUUGGUGGGUAUCACAGGUGUGAUAACUAUCUACGCUUGUGGUUUUCCACCAGGUAACCUUCAGCAGUGGAGGUUCGCUGGAGCUCACAGAUGUGUCUCUCCUCAGUGAGGACGGCUCUUUGAAUGUUUGAUCUCAAAUCAGGUAGGACUACCCGCUGAACUUAAGCAUAUCAAUAAGCGGAGGA
rnacentral:misc_RNA from 1 species